rnacentral:piRNA from 1 species
UUAGUCAUGUUUGUCUAUCUAACAGGG